rnacentral:rRNA from 1 species
GAUUGAACGCUGGCGGUAUGCUUAACACAUGCAAGUCGAACGGAAACGAUACUAGCUUGCUAGUAGGCGUCGAGUGGCGGACGGGUGAGUAACGCGUAGGAAUCUGCCUGAUAGUGGGGGAUAGCCCGAAGAAAUUCGGAUUAAUACCGCAUAAUCUAUUCGUAGUAAAGUGGGGGACUUUCGAGCCUCACGCUAUCAGAUGAGCCUGCGUAAGAUUAGCUUGUUGGUAGGGUAAAAGCCUACCAAGGCGACGAUCUUUAGCUGGUCUGAGAGGAUGAUCAGCCACAUCGGGACUGAGACACGGCCCGAACUCCUACGGGAGGCAGCAGUGGGGAAUAUUGGACAAUGGGGGCAACCCUGAUCCAGCAAUACCGCGUGUGUGAAGAAGGCCUGAGGGUUGUAAAGCACUUUCAAUUGUGAAGAAAAGUUAGCGGUUAAUAACCGUUAGCCUUGACGUUAACUUUAGAAGAAGCACCGGCUAACUCCGUGCCAGCAGCCGCGGUAAUACGGAGGGUGCAAGCGUUAAUCGGAAUUACUGGGCGUAAAGCGUGCGUAGGUGGUUUAUUAAGUCAGAUGUGAAAGCCCCGGGCUUAACCUGGGAACUGCAUUUGAAACUGGUCAACUAGAGUAUGGUAGAGGAAAGUGGAAUUUCUGGUGUAGCGGUGAAAUGCGUAGAUAUCAGAAGGAACAUCAAUGGCGAAGGCAGCUUUCUGGACCAAUACUGACACUGAGGUACGAAAGCGUGGGUAGCAAACAGGAUUAGAUACCCUGGUAGUCCACGCCGUAAACGAUGAUAACUAGCCGUUGGGGGGAUUUACCCUUUAGUGGCGAAGCUAACGCGUUAAGUUAUCCGCCUGGGGAGUACGGCCGCAAGGUUAAAACUCAAAGGAAUUGACGGGGACCCGUACAAGCGGUGGAGCAUGUGGUUUAAUUCGAUGCAACGCGAAGAACCUUACCUGGUCUUGACAUCCUGCGAACUUUCUAGAAAUAGAUUGGUGCCUUCGGGAACGCAGUGACAGGUGCUGCAUGGCUGUCGUCAGCUCGUGUCGUGAGAUGUUGGGUUAAGUCCCGUAACGAGCGCAACCCCUAUCCUUAUUUGCCAGCACAUCAUGGUGGGAACUAUAAGGAGACUGCCGGUGAUAAACCGGAGGAAGGCGGGGACGACGUCAAGUCAUCAUGGCCCUUACGACCAGGGCUACACACGUGCUACAAUGGGAAGGACAAAGAGCCGCGAAGCCGCGAGGUGUAGCUAAUCUCAUAAACCUUUUCGUAGUCCGGAUUGGAGUCUGCAACUCGACUCCAUGAAGUCGGAAUCGCUAGUAAUCGUAGAUCAGAAUGCUACGGUGAAUACGUUCCCGGGUCUUGUACACACCGCCCG